GAUCACACCACUGCACUUGAGCCUGGGCAACAGAGGGAAACGCUGUCUCAAAAAAAAGGAAAAAAGAUCUUUUCUAAUUUCCUUGUGAUUUCUGCUUUGAUCCACAAAUUACUUAGAAUUAUGAUGCUUAUCACAGAUUUGAUGAUUUUCUGUUAUUAAUUUCUAAUUUAAUUCUGUGUGGUCAAAAAAUGCUCUAUAACUUCUUUGAAAAUUGAUACUUUACGACUUGACAUAUGGUUUAUUCUAAUGAAUGAUAUUCCAUGUGUAGUUGUAUAUAAUAUAUAUUCUACUGUUUGUUGGAGAAGUUAUAGAUGUAGUUAUGUCAUAAUAGUGUUGUUCAGGUCUCUUUUAUCCUAGUUGAUUUGCUCUCUACUUGUUAUUGAUUACUAAGAAGGCACAUUGAAGUCUCCAGCUAUAACUAUAGAUUUGUCUAUUUCUUCCUUCAAUUCUGUCAUUUAUUUAUGUAAUUUGGAGCACUGUUAUUUUGUGCAUGUAUGUUUACAAUUUUUGUAUCUUCUUGCUCUAUUGAGAGAGGGAAUUUGUUACAUGUAAUGCACAAAAUAACUUGGGAAGAUGGGAACUGCCAAUGGUAGAAAAAUAGCAACAUUUUUCCAGCUUAUGAUAGGAAACCCAACAAUGAAUAAAAAUUAACAAAGAUCUACAUAAAUACACUUUUUCCCCUAGACCUCAUAGGAUAUAUUUCAGUAUUACUUGGCCUCUCCUAUGAAGCAGACCUUAAGUCCAAAUGUUGGUCACUAAGAUGAAAAAAACCUACUGCAAGAAACAUUUAUAAAAUAAAAUUUUCUCAGUUUUUGACUUGGACAAAGGUGACAGAUUAUUCUAAACAAAGAAAAACCCAUGAGGUGAUGGCUUUUUAAAAAAUCGAAUAUUUUCAAAACACGUAUUAUAUAACAAGCGUGUCAUAGUAAAGAAAAUACAAAUGGGCUUUUUCUCGCAAGAUGACGGUCACCCUGGGGACUGAGGCUGGUGUGUGCCGCGCGGCUGCUCUCACCCUGGAAGAAGGCAUUCGGGCCACUCUAACCAGAUUCUUAAGUCGCUAGGGAUAAAAGAGGGGUAGAGAGAGAAGCGACUCAAUUCUGUAGUCUCUCGCUCACGAGCCUCCAGUCAAAAGAAGAGAAUGGUGCAGCAUCAUCUUUAGGCACUGAAGGCCCGAAAAGCCCAUUUUAACUACAGGUCUGCUUAAUCAAAGUUAAGGAGCAGAAGAACCAGCGCAGCUUUACUUUCCCUUCUCUAACAUGGCCUCGAGUGCGGGGUGGGGGGAGGGGAGAGAAAGAGGAGGUUUCCGCUCGACCCCGCCCACGCCUCGGGGCGAGCCAAUCCUGGCGGGCAACUCAGCCUGCGUAAGCUCGCUGCCAGUAGGGCGCUGGGUGGACUCGGUGAGGUGAUUGUUUUGACACCUGUUGCCAAGGCUCCUCCUCCCUCUCUCCUUCACGGGGCGGGCUGCGGACCAGGAGCGGGCCAGGGGCGGGCCGUUGGCAGCCUCCGCUCCCUCAACCUUCGCGGGGCGCCGGGCGCGGGCAGCGGACCUCAGCUUUUUGGUUCACAGCGGGGCAGGGAGAGCCACGGGAAGGGCUCUCCAAGCAAGAGGCGGACGCCAGGCGUCGUGGCAAGGAAAAGGGACUAGCUCCACUUCGUUGUCAGCUGGGGACGAGAAUCGAGCCACGCUCCCACCUGGCUGCUCACGAUCCGUCGGCGGCGAUGUCGGCCUCCGGUGCCCGAGGCCUGCGGGCCACCUACCACCAGCUCCUCGAUAAAGUGGAGCUGAUGCUGCCCGAGAAAUUGAGGCCGUUGUACAACCAUCCAGCAGGUCCCAGAACAAUUUUUUUCUGGGCUCCAAUUAUGAAAUGGGGGUUGGUGUGUGCUGGAUUGGCUGAUAUGGCCAGACCUGCAGAAAAACUUAGCACAGCUCAAUCUGCUGUUUUGAUGGCUACAGGGUUUAUUUGGUCAAGAUACUCACUUGUAAUUAUUCCAAAAAAUUGGAAUCUGUUUGCUGUUAAUUUCUUUGUGGGGACAGCAGGAGCCUCUCAGCUUUUUCGUAUUUGGAGAUAUAACCAAGAACUAAAAGCUAAAGCACACAAAUAAAAAGAGUUCCUGAUCACCUGAACAGUCUAGAUGUGGACAUAACCAUUGGGACCUAGUUUAUUAUUUGGUUAUUGAUAAAGCAAAGCUAACUGUGCGUUUGGAAGGCACAAUAAAACUAACUGUAACUGGUAGCUAGUGCUUGAUUCCAUAGAAAAAUAAAGUUUUAAUAACAGUAAAAAAAAAAAACACAAAUGGCUCAACUAUGGAAAAUGCUCAACAUCAGGAGAAAUUAAAACUACACUGAGUUGCUACACUGAGUGAUCUUUUGUACCCAGACAAAAGAGCUCAAAGCAAAGAUCAAAUAGUUUUAUAACACAAAGUAACUUAUAAUAGGGUAACUUACACAUUACUGGUAUUCACAUAAAUUGGUAAAACUCAAUGAAGGGCAGUUUUACAAUAACCAUUAAAACUAUAAAUGUAUGCAACUGUUGACACAGCAAAUCACUCCUAAGAAUUUAUCCUAAAAAUAUAAUUGAAAAAAUGCAAAAUAACAUAUAUGUACUAUUAUUCACUGUGGUAUCAUUUAUCAAUGGCAAAGGAUUAGAAAUAAUCCCAAUGUUUAUUAACAGUGGACUGAUUAAAUACACUCAAUAUAUCAUAUAAUGAAAUGCUCUGAAGCUGUGAAACAGAAUGAGGAAGAUCUUCAUGUACUGAAUAUGAAAUGGUCUCCAAGAUAUAUUAAUAGCAGAAAAAUGCAAGGUGUAGAACAGUGUGCAAAAAGGGAGCUAAAAGAAAAAAAUAUAUACCUUCACACCCAUGAAUUUGUAUAGGCAUAAAAUGUCUAUGGAAUAAUAAAAAGAAAAUGGAUAGUGAUUGAUAGCAACUACUGAGUGGCUAGGGAAAGGGGUAAAAGGGAAAUUUUUUCAUAAUCUUUUUGCACUGUUUGAAUGUUGAAAAAUGUGAAAACAUUACUUAUUCCCCCCAAAAUACAUUUUUUAUUUUCUGUAAAUUUAAUUGUUGCAAUAAUGUAUCUAUGCUGUUUAAAAAUCAAAAGUAAAAAAAUAUAUCAUUAGCAAAAAAGUCUCUUCACCAUCUUCUCCAAAUCUUACAUUCACUACCCCAACUUCUACGACUAGACGUAAUUUAUGUAUCUUUCCAGAAUAUCUUACACAUAUAUAAGCAAUAUAAAUACCACUAUUUCUCCCCUAUCUGAAUUUAUGCCUUACCUUUAGUUAUUCAUCUCUGAGCUCUUUCUAUGUAACAAUAUAGAAAACUUUCUAUUCUUUACUACAGAGUAUUCCAUUGUAUGAAUAAACCAUAAUUUAGCCAAUUUCUCAUUGAUUAAUGCUUAAGAUGUUUUAAUUUUUUGCUAUCCCAUUAUGUAUAUCCAACUACCAAUAAAUAGAUCACCAUAUUAUUAUAAGAAAUGUCUCUAGUGGAGUUUUGAUAGAUUGAGAUCAAAGUGAGUACAGUAAGCAAUAUUAUAGUAGUUUUUACAGAUUUAAUACUAGAAAAUUACCUAUAUUUCUCAAAAAAUGCUUUUGUGUGGCAAAAAACAGCGUAGCCUGGGUCCAGAUGUUAGUAGUGUAGGGUCAGGGUUCAAACUAAAUGUUUUCAAAUUCUGCCUGCUUUUACUUACAAGGUGUGAAUCUUAAGUUACCUCAUCUCUGUGCGCCUGCUUCCUUGUCUGGAAAAUGAUAACAGCUACCUCUCAGUUAUAAUGAAGUUUAUUAUUAUUAUUAUUUUAUUAUUUUUAGAGACAGAGUCUCGCUCUGUCUCCCAGGCUGGAGUGCAGUGG